GCGCUCGUAGCUCAGUUUGGAUAGAGCGCUGCCCUCCGGAGGCAGAGGUCUCAGGUUCGAAUCCUGUCGGGCGUA
rnacentral:tRNA from 1 species